rnacentral:tRNA from 1 species
GCGGGGGUACCCGAGCGGCCAAAGGGGCAAGGCUUAGGACCUUGUGGUUAGUCCUUCGCCGGUUCAAAUCCGGCCUCCCGCA